GUGAAUCAUCAAAUUUUUGAACGCAAAUUGCACUCUCCUCGGAGAGUAUGCCUGUUUGAGGGUCAGCCUAUAAAAAAUCGACAUCGUUGCGGUUUCGCGGUGGCGUUCGUCGGAAUUUGGGUUAUCUUAAAUCCUUUGGGGUUUUAGGCGCCUUAAAAUUUUCUUUUUGGUUCCUUGAACGUUUCAAAGAUUUAUUUCUUUACAGGUUUAGGGUAUCAAUUUUUAUUAAACGUGACCCCAA
rnacentral:misc_RNA from 1 species